UGCCAGCCGCCGCGGUAAUACGGAGGGUGCAAACGUUACCCGGAAUUAUUGGGCGUAAAGCGUCCGCAGGCUGCGUAGCAAGUCAGAUGUUAAAUCUCGGGGCUCAACUCCGAGCUUGUAUCCGAAACUGCUAUGCUAGAGUCUUGGAGAGGGGAGUGGAAUUCUACAUGUAGGGGUAAAAUCCGUAGAUAUGUAGAGGAACACCAAAAGCGAAGGCAGCUCCCUGGCCAAGUACUGACGCUCAUGGACGAAAGCGUAGGUAGCAAACGGGAUUAGAUA
rnacentral:rRNA from 1 species